UUAUAACUACUCUGUGGUUAUAGAGUUUGAUUUCUGCACAUCAGUUGGAGAUAGAAGUUGGGAGCUUGGGGAGGAUGGGGAAGGAGGAUUCCUUGGGAAUACAGCUGGUGAGGGAUGGAGCCCACAAGGCACCAUCUUCACAGCUGAUCAGAGAGGAGUCUAGGAUGGUUUGGGGUUGGGACAGUUACCCUGAGAACUGCUGUUACCCCACUGACAUCACAGCAAUGAAGGGGAGGGGCAAGGAGGGGGCCCUCCCUCUGCCCCGCUUUACCUCAUUAUCUUCCUUCCCACCUUAAACAGGGCAUCCAACUGAGGGGUUUGGGACCCCUUCCUGCCCCACUGGACCCCGUAAACCUGGUAGGUGGGCAACGGACCUCACUGACCCAUUCUACUCCAUAGAGCCCAAUCCCUCCUGUAAGAAGGGGACCCAUACGGCAAGGACUUCUCUCACCCC
ensembl:lncRNA